CUGUGGCGUUUGUGCCAAGUUUUUGCAUUCUAAUUUUUUCUAUCUUCUUUUCUACUGAUUGAUUGUAUCAAGAGAAUCCUUGGCAGAACUGGAUGCUGAUUUAACAAUGGAAGAGUUGGAAAGAGCCCUUAAAAACACGGAAAGUGGAAAAGCACCAGGGCUAGACGGAAUUCCAGUAGAAUUUUACAAGACUUUUUGGUCAGAGUGCAAAAGACAGCAGGUAAAAAGCUCCUGCAGGACCAGGAACCCACCACUGGAUCCAGUAAUGGCAUCAGUCAGGAGGCAUCGAAGCUGCUGGAUGAAAUCAUUUUAGAGUUU